rnacentral:rRNA from 1 species
GACGAACGCUGGCGGCGUGCCUAAUACAUGCAAGUCGAACGCAGUGGGGCCGGGUGAGUAACACGUGGGUAACCUCCCAUCAGAGGGGAUAACACUUGGAAACAGGUGCUAAACCGAUACUGAUGGAUGGACCCGCGGUGCAUUAGCUAGUUGGUGAGGUAACGGCUCACCAAGGCCACGAUGCAUAGCCGACCUACGGUUGUGAUCUGCCACACUGGGACUGAGACUCGGCCCAGACUCCUAUGCGAGGCAGUAGUAGAGAAUGUUCGGCAAUGGACGAAAGUCUGACCACGCAACGCCGCGUGAGUGAAGAAGGUUUUCAGAUCGUAAAACUCUGUUGUUAUAGAAGCGGUAUCUAACCAGAAAGCCACGGCUAACUACGUGCCGGCAGCCGCGGUAAUAC